rnacentral:rRNA from 1 species
GACGAACGCUGGCGGCGUGCUUAACACAUGCAAGUCGAACGGUGACCUCGAGAGCUUGCUCUCGAGUGAUCAGUGGCGAACGGGUGAGUAACACGUGAGUAACCUGCCCCAGACUCUGGAAUAACCCCGGGAAACCGGAGCUAAUACCGGAUACGAGACGGAGUCGCAUGGCUACCGUCUGGAAAGUUUUUCGGUCUGGGAUGGACUCGCGGCCUAUCAGCUUGUUGGUGAGGUAACGGCUCACCAAGGCGACGACGGGUAGCCGGCCUGAGAGGGCGACCGGCCACACUGGGACUGAGACACGGCCCAGACUCCUACGGGAGGCAGCAGUGGGGAAUAUUGCACAAUGGGCGAAAGCCUGAUGCAGCGACGCCGCGUGAGGGAUGACGGCCUUCGGGUUGUAAACCUCUUUCAGCAGGGAAGAAGCGAAAGUGACGGUACCUGCAGAAGAAGCACCGGCUAACUACGUGCCAGCCGCCGCGGUAAAAC